rnacentral:lncRNA from 1 species
GAACUGGUUUGAACUGGUCUGAACUGGUCUGAACUGGUUUGAACUGGGACUCCCCCGUUCCCCUCCCCCAGCUGGUGGCUGCGGGGGCGGCGCUGGCGGCGAUGGCCAAAGGACCCUCGGCCGGACGGGUGAGAGCGGGGGGACACUGGGGCCAUUUGGGGACAUUUGGGGUCAUUUGGGGACAUUUGGGGAUAUUUGGGGACAUUUUGGGGACAUUUGGGGACAUUUUGGGACAUUUGGGGACAUUUUGGGGACAUUUUGGGGACAUUUGGGGACAUUUUGGGGACAUUUGGGGACAUUUGGGGACCAUUUGGGGCCAUUUUGGGGCCAUUUGGGGCCAUUUGGGGACAUUUUGGGGCCAUUUGGGGCCAUUUGGGGCAUUUUUGGGGCAUUUUUGGGGACAUUAGGGGUCACUCAGGGUCACUCAGGGUUACUCAGGGGUCACUCGGGUCACUAAGGGGUCACUCAGGGGUCAUUGGGGUCACUCAGGGGUCACUCCGGGGUCACUCGGGUCACUCAGGGGUCACUCAGUUGUCACUCAGGGGUGACUCAGGGGUCACUCGGGUCACUCAGGGGUCACUCAGGGGUCACUCAGGGGUCACUCAAGGGUCUCUCCGGCCGCAGGCUCGCGCCGCGCUGGCGCUGGACAUCGUGGCCGCCAUCUUGUCCUUCCUGGCCCUGGGGGUGCAGGGGCUGCUCCUCCCCCACAGCUGCCCCUGGUGCUACAACCUGAGCCCGGCCGGGCAGGGGGCGCUGUUGGGCACUCAAGUGCUGCUGAUGACGUCAUCGCUGGCCGGGGCGAUCCUGGCUGUGAUUGGCUGCGUGGCGGCCACCAGGGCGCGCCCGAGGGCGGAGCCAAUGGUGAGUGACAGCAAAGGGGGCGUGGCUUAGAGCCAUUAAUGA